CUUGACUCUAGUCUGGCACUGUGAGGAGACACGAGAGGUGUAGCAUAAGUGGGAGGUCGGCGCCCCCGCGAGGGGGCCCGGCCGGCCUUGAAAUACCACUACUCGCGUAGUUUCCUCACUUACUCGGUCAGGCGGGAGGCGCGCGCCGUUCCUCGCGUUCGGCGCGCGGUCUUCUGGAGCCAAGGCCGCCGCGGGUUCUCCUCGGCGGCCGACCCGAUCCGAGGACACUGCCAGGCCGGGAGUUUGACUGGGGCGGUACAUCUGUCAAAGAAUAACGCAGGUGUCCUAAGGCCAGCUCAGCGAGGACAGAAACCUCGCGUGGAGCAAAAGGGCAAAUGCUGGCUUGAUCCCGAUGUCCAGUGAGCAUAGGGACUGCGAAAGCACGGCCUAUCGAUCCUUUUGGCUCGGAGAGUUUCCGGCAAGAGGUGUCAGAAAAGUUACCACAGGGA
rnacentral:rRNA from 1 species